CCAUUCAAGUCCCACAGUUGCCCUGCGAAACCUCUGUAUAUGAAAAGUUGGCCCUCCAUGUACAUGGGUUUCCCAUCCUGUCACAGAAUUUUCCACACUCCUUGACAGAGGUGCUUAACCCUUAUCCAUCAGCAUUCUCAGACAGCACCUCCGGUUAGGGACAGUAUCUGACCGUCCGACAUCCCUGCAGCCCCCAUGUGUCACACAGACUCAGCCUCAGGUAGAUGGUUUCCGUAGAUGGUGGCUUUCUUUGGACCCUUGACAUCAACCAGUUACUAUUUGCUCCUGCAACCACCGCUGUACUUUCUGUCUCUAUGAACUUGACUACUCUAGACACCUCAUGGGACCAGAUGUGCAGAGGUAAUGAAUACCAGGGAAUCAGGAAACCACUGGAUCAGUUCUUUGAGCCACAGAACAACACUCAUCCCAGCAGCUGGGAAGCUAUCUGCAAAAGUCCAUCUGCAGAAAGGGCUUCCUGGUCUUGCGUGUGGCUGGGCCAUUUCUCUGGAUGCAGGUUUUUCAUUAUACAGUCUUCUCAAAGAACCACCUGCUCUCAACACC
rnacentral:lncRNA from 10 species